GCCGGCCCUGGUCCCCAGGCUGCACCCAUGUGCUUUCCCUGACCUCUCUCCAGCUUUAAACCUUCACUACUGCCAGUUCCAGUCGGCCCUUGUUGCGUACAUGCCGUCCCCUCCCCCGGCACAGCACAGGGUCUGGUGUCAGAAUCCCAAUGAAAGAGCCAGAAAUGGCUGCACACAAUGACUGUGCAGCCCCUUUGCGGGCGAGAGGGCAGCUUUCUAGAAAAGUCACACCAUACUGAUAGGGGCGCACUUUGGAGACCAGAACUCUCGGGAUCCUUUCUCAUGGAGACCCCAAGCAUGGACCCUUCUGCUGGCAUGCCCGUAUCGGGUUGGCACCUGCAUUUGGGGACACCCUCUGAGGUCCCUGCUGACCCAUGUCCCCUGAAGAGUAAAGCCCUACAUGUGUACAAGCCUCCGAGAAUAUUUCAGCUCUCCCUGCAGCCCACAGAGAGCCAUCUCCACACCACCUGCCCAGAAGUGCACUUCACAGGGGGCAGGGCAGACUUUGUCUCCCGCUCCGUCGCUUGUCCUUGUUGGGUGGACUGUGCCGAGCCCUCACACUGGGGGCAGCUUUGUGGUGCCUUCAUGUAAGAGACCAACCUAAGCUGUCCCGUGAAAUGUGUACUCUGUUUUCCCAAUGUCUCCCUGACUGACCUUUUUUUAAAAAUAAAAAAUCUCAUUGCCAGAGCUUCAGUAUGUUUGGCAACUUGGACCUUCCUUUGCUUCCUAAUAUCAUAGAAUUGACAAGUUUUGGGGUACAGACCCAAAAUGGCAAACUGGCCCUUCCAGGAGGUUCUGGGAAGACCUGGGAGAGGCAAGCAGAGAAGGUGGGGUCCCUCCCGGGCAGCAGCAGAGUUCAGCUGCCUGGUGCUGUCAGUUGAAUCCUGUCAGAGAUGCACGCCCACGGCUCACCUUCUAGAUCCUUCUAUCAGGUCCUGCAGUCAAGUUGAGGCAUGGUCCCAGUAUCCUUGUCUUUGAUAGGACAGUCUGAAAGCAGUGUCACACCUCCACUGUCUUGCAGUGUGACUUUUUCUCAUGCCUCGUGUGGCCAGGCCUCAACGGUGAUAACUAUGGCCAUGAAGCUUUGAGGAAAAUGAAAGUGAAGGACAACUGGGCAUGCAAGCUGUUCUCUAAGUUCCAGUUGCUUAAAUAAAACCUGCCUACUUGACCCAGAGCCCGAGGCUUGCUCUAAGGGAUUCAUCUCCAUCUGAGACCUCCCAAGCAUUGUGAAGUGUAAACAGAUCGAAGAUAAGCACUUCUGAUUAAAACCCAAUCUCAGAUCUGAAUGAUGUAACCUGCUUUUGGUGUUUGGAUCUAUCCAUCGUUUCCACUAAUAAUGACUGAAAUAACCAUGGGCUGUUGGCUGUGUUCAUGUUGGCCCUGUCUCUGGUGUGAGGUGGGACGCCAGGGCCUGUGGAGUGGCCGCUGGCAGUGGCCCACAGUGAGGCCCUGCAGGGCGAGCAGCAGUGAAGGCAAGGGCUUGUCCACCCAGCCUGUCAUCCAGAGUACGUGUUGUUUUCCCAUUCUGAUGUGUCCUCAGCCAGCUCUCAGUUUCCGGUUCAGCAGGUGAGUGUGCAGGGACGCAAGACCAGCUGGCUUCCCUUGGUCAAGGGAAUGGUCAGGCGGCUCGUCAGGGGAACUUCAAACCAGUUAAUUCAUUGCAGGUCCAGCAAGGAACCGGAAUGAUCCACUUUAGGGACCAGCUCCACCCAUGUGGUGCUUGAUUUGGGGAAGUUGACAGGUGGACCUAGGAGGGUCUUUAGACGUUUUUCCAUCGUUGGCACCACCUUCGCCUUGCCACCUUCCUGCUGUGAGGGUGGAUAGGUGUUGUAUGGCCUGGAAGGAACCUCGGCUGCAUCUCUGCUGCCUACCUGAAGAGGGUGAUUGGCGUUUUCAGACACACGUCAUUGGAGAUUCUUCUGUAUCAAGGCUGAAUGCUCAUUGCAUGAGGCUGUUGCAAAUGACCUUGUUUUUUUCAGCUAUGUGACAACAGGCCUCGCAGUAUAUCCAGUUAUAUCUGCCCAUCCAGCUCAGACCUCCAGCAUCCACUGCUGAGUGUGAACAGGUUUGGAGGCCUCGUGGAGAUGGGAGGGUUUCCAACUCCCUCGUUCCUUGGUCCAGACUGGGACCUCCCUUCCUGGCCACACCCCAGGUCCCCCUGCCUGGCGUCUGGCUCACUGUGGCUGGUGCUCACUGCCAUACCUGCCCUGCUCCCCUCCCGUACUCUCCUGUCCUGAUGCCGGGCAGCUCAGGACCAGACAAGUCCUGGCCAAUGUGGAGGGCGGGGAGUGCACACAGUGGCCAACUGGCUAGAUGCAGGUGGGCCUCUAUUCCUGCUUCAUGCAGAACUAGCCCAGAGGCCAAGUUGAUGUGCCAAGCUUUCUCUUUCACCGAGAACUUGGAGUUCACUGCUGCAGCCCAGACAGCCAAGACCGCUCCCUUAGCCAGCUGAUCUCUCCACCCUGACCACACUUCAGGGCUGGUUUUGAGUUGGUGGCUUGCCCAGGUUUUCUUGCACUGCCACUGUGAGGUCAUUUUUUAGUGCCCACGAGCAGUGACUGAGAACAACAGAAAGCCUAUCUGCUCUGUCCCUUUGUCACUUGGUGAACGUGGUCACAGGCAUCUCGGAAUUGCCUGAGCUCCUUGGGACCACGGUGUCUGGUGUGUAGACUCCGAGCAGCCUGACGUUAUGACUCAGAGCUUGGAGAAAGAAGUCAUGUUCUUUUGGAACCCUUUUGUUCUGUGCACUACCUUCAUGUUCCAUCUGUUAAGAGUGCUGUGGGGAUGUCCUCAUAUAACCCUCACCUGGCUUGCGGAGAAAACACCCCAAUUCAUAAUUCAUGGUCUGUCCCGGUGUUAACUAGGCUAACUUCUCUGUCUUUAUUUUUGGGGGGAAGAGCUGGAAUGUAAUUUGGUUGUGUGCUCCCAGAAGUAUUUAGAAAGUAGAAGAAAGCCACAGUGCCAUCAGUUUGCCUGAGACUGUGACUGGGGAUGAGAGAUGCCUGCUUCAGGGGGUGUGGGUGACUGGCAGCCGUGGAGCAGGAAGGCGUUUCCUCUUCUGGGUCCUCUCUGCUCCCAGGAAGACCAGCCAGAACACAUAGAGGAGUCAGAACCUUUUGCUUUUUUAGCCUGAUUUUACUUUUCAUUGUUAUUUGAGAUCCGAUGGCCCACUUGGAGCAGGAAAACAUUUAUGCUGUUUGGUCUUGGAAUCAUUGAUGAUAAAGAGAGUUGAGAUGAGAAGAGCUGCCGUCACUCGCAGGCAUCCACUUGGGUUUGCCAGACUCCCUCCAGGAUCCAGGACAGGGAGAGCCUGAGCCCUGUGGAUGGCCCUCAUCACCAUGGAGCCUCUCUCUGUGCUCAACGUUCCACAGUUCUGUUGGAAGGCACGCUUCCGUGGGGCGCUGUGGCUGAGUGAGAUACUUCUCAGAACGCUUCUUCUCCUGGAGGACGGUUGGUGAUCUCAGGGAAAGUGCACUAGGGUAUGGGUCCUUGGUGCUCGGGGUGGGGGUGGGGGGACCGAGGUAUUUGUAAAUGAGCAAACUCUUACAGCCUGGCUGCCUGGCUUGGGCUGUGCCCCUUGCCCAGCGCUCUGAUGACAGGAAGGAGGAGGAAGAUGGUGGUACCGUGUUCCCCAGCAGAUCACUGGAGGAUGCAGUGAAGGAGAAGUCAAGGGGGACCAAGACGCUGACAUUACACAACUCAUGAGAGAGAGAACACUAGAAUGUCGCAGACAGAAAGGCGAGGAGAAUCAAGGAGACCAUGAAGCCUUUGAUCCCAGGAAGAAAGGGACCCUUGGUUGGUGAACAUGCUGAACAACUGAACCACGACUCCCGGGACUCAGAGCCCUUGUGUGCUCCCCCUUCCCUUACCUGGGAG